ACUGAGCACUGUGGAUAAUAUUGCAAUAAGUAUGCGCACUCUCAGAAGGAUUUUAAAAUGCAAGGGGCCAUACAGAAUGAAGAAUGAGUCCAACCCUCUGGCAGUAGCAUCAUUUCUCAUUGAUCAGCUGGAGGGGCACGGAAGGUUCCACGGAUACAGGCUACACCAUCUCUGCUGCAUCCAAGCUGGGUAUGUUGUGACCCAAAGGACAGUGAGGCAUUUGUUAAAGUUUCUAGACCCCUGUGGUGUUGAGCAGAGACGGAGAAAUCGCCUGAUGCGACGCCUAUAUGUUAACCCUGGGCCUAAUUUUAUGUGGCAUGUUGACUCAUACGAGGGGCACACAGACCGACUGCUGCUGCAAAAAACAGCUCUGCUUGCUUCAUCACUAUUUUUAUAUAGACUACACAACAUUUUAAAGCCAAAUUUACAAUAAAAUAUAGACAAGCAGCCACAAACUAUGGAGAAGCUAUCUAACAUCUUCAGAACAGUCAAUAGGUGUGCUACAAAAGCCCAAUGACACCUUGGAUAGAUUUUCAUUGAUUGACAACACAAUGCUGCAGAAGCAUAUGAAUUCUCAUGGAUUCAUUCAUGACUUAAUGUAUUAAAGAGCACGAGUUCAUUCAGAUAAUGAUUCAUGAAUUAUCAGGCAUGCACAAGAAUUAAUAGCAUCUCAUGCAUGACUAAAUGCAAGCUCAUAAUGUUAAUUAAUGCAACAACUAGGUAUUUCAAUCAGCAUGAUUUCUGAGUUCUUAACGAUGUUCGUGAAUCUUAAUUAAGUCUGCAGUUAAAGGGACAGACUGUAAAACUGACUAGUCACAGCAGUGCACUGUUGAACAUGACAUGUACUUACAAAAAACAAAACAUACUUUAACUUUAAGCUUUUAACAUUAUUAAUAAUGUAAGCAGUAGUCAUCUUACUUUUCACAACACAUUGUUGAUAUAAUGUCCACUCACCAUGGGAGCAUAUGUCUGCAUGUAUAAUAUUGACUCAAAAUAGGAAGUGUUACAUUGAUCUGUGUUUUCACUGGUAUUUUUCUUCUACAGGAACUACUGCAGCAAGUUGCACAAGAUCACCUGAAAGAGGUCUCUCAGGAAGCAGUGGAGGCUUGUAAACUAGAGUGCCAACAGAGAGGACCUUAUCCUUGCGAUGAAACUGUUUUCAGCUUGUGUUGCCUUAUAAUGGCAGAGAACUUCUUACUCUCACCCACCACAGCAGAUGAAGCCAUAGAGCUAUAUCUCUUCUUGAGAGCAUACAUUCUUAAAUACUUAAUUAAGGCAGGGCUACAUUAUGUCAACUGAUGCCUUGGUUUCUUUUGAACAUUUUUGUGAGGAAAAUAUCCACAACAAAUAAUCACAAUGUUUCAGUGCAGAGUAAAAAUAAUGUGUGGUUUCAACAAAAUAUUUAACCAACCCUGUACAUUUGGUCACUUUGUCACAAACCCCAGGUCGUGACCCUGGCCUGCCUGUUGCCCUGAGGCUGCUGGUGGGCGUGGUAAUCUGAGCUCCAGGCUUUCCCACCUGAAGCACAUCCGCAAUCAGCACACCAGGGCCUCUGCCUGCAAUCAACACGCCUUUAAGAGAUCUGCCAACCUUCCAGUCCCCGCUGGAUUGUUGUACUUAACCGAAACCUGCAUAUGCACCACGCGGAUUCCCUCCUGUGCCCCGGAAUCAUCUAAGCUCUGGGACCAGAACCGCAGACCCACAGAACGACCACCUCACCCCAACCUCUCCCAGGACACCCCUUGUGCUUAAUAAACUUCUGUGAAUCUC